GAUGAACGCUGGCGGCGCGCCUAACACAUGCAAGUCGAACGGUUAAAGCACCUUUUAGGUGUGUAUAAAGUGGCGAACGGCUGAGUAACACGUGGGCCACCUGCCCUCCUCUUGGGGAUAGCCUCGGGAAACCGAGGAUAAUACCCGAUACUUCAAUGUGGCCGCAUGACGACAUUGAGAAAGCUUUUGCGGAGAAGGAUGGGCCCGCGGCCUGUUAGCUUGUUGGUGGGGUAGAGGCCUACCAAGGCAAUGAUGGGUAGCUGGGUUGAGAGACCGACCAGCCAGAUUGGGACUGAGACACGGCCCAGACUCCUACGGGAGGCAGCAGUGGGGAAUCUUGCACAAUGGGCGAAAGCCUGAUGCAGCGACGCCGCGUGCGGGACGAAGGCCUUCGGGUUGUAAACCGCUUUCAGCAGGGACGAGGCGAUAAGUGACGGUACCUGCAGAAGAAGCCCCGGCUAACUACGUG
rnacentral:rRNA from 1 species